ensembl:lncRNA
GCGCAGCGCAGCGCAGCGGCGGGCAGCGGCGCAGGGCUGCGGGCGGGGAUCCCCCGGCGUGACAGAGCAGAAAUGCCCGCUCAGGGGAAGCGGCCGAGGGACGCGCACAGAGCGCAUCGCAGGGCGUUGCUGGUGGUGGGAGAUAAUGGAGAGAAUGUGAGGCCACAAAGGGCAAGUGCAGUCAUCUGCCGUCAUCUGCAGCGUGACAGAGGCCAAAGAACUCCAUCAGAGCAGAGACCGGUGCCAUAACUUACAUUGGAGCUGCAACAGAGCCAAGCCAUCCACCACUGCUACUUCUGAAGUUACAUUGGUUCACUCAGCAACACAUUGAAUCUUAC